rnacentral:rRNA from 1 species
UUUUAUGAGAGUUUGAUCCUGGCUCAGGAUGAACGCUGGCGGCGUGCCUAACACAUGCAAGUCGAGCGAGGGCUUACUCGGAAUUGAGUAUUCUAUCAGCGUUUUUUCGUUUCUGACCCUAGUAGUCAGAUUGGAAGAAACGAAACACGCACUAUAAAGUGCCAGUUCGCACUAUAAAGUGCCGGUAAAGUAGAGUAUUGAAUUCUGAGUAAGACCAAGCGGCGGACGGGUGAGUAACGCGUGGGUAACCUGCCCUAUACACAUGGAUAACAUACUGAAAAGUUUACUAAUACAUGAUAAUAUAUAUUUACGGCAUCGUAGAUAUAUCAAAGUGUUAGCGGUAUAGGAUGGACCCGCGUCUGAUUAGCUAGUUGGUGAGAUAACUGCCCACCAAGGCGACGAUCAGUAGCCGACCUGAGAGGGUGAUCGGCCACAUUGGAACUGAGACACGGUCCAAACUCCUACGGGAGGCAGCAGUGGGGAAUAUUGCACAAUGGGCGCAAGCCUGAUGCAGCAACGCCGCGUGAACGAUGAAGGUCUUCGGAUCGUAAAGUUCUGUUGCAGGGGAAGAUAAUGACGGUACCCUGUGAGGAAGCCCCGGCUAACUACGUGCCAGCAGCCGCGGUAAUACGUAGGGGGCUAGCGUUAUCCGGAUUUACUGGGCGUAAAGGGUGCGUAGGUGGUCUUUCAAGUCGGUGGUUAAAGGCUACGGCUCAACCGUAGUUAGCCUCCGAAACUGGAAGACUUGAGUGCAGGAGAGGAAAGUGGAAUUCCCAGUGUAGCGGUGAAAUGCGUAGAUAUUGGGAGGAACACCAGUAGCGAAGGCGGCUUUCUGGACUGCAACUGACACUGAGGCACGAAAGCGUGGGUAGCAAACAGGAUUAGAUACCCUGGUAGUCCACGCUGUAAACGAUGAGUACUAGGUGUCGGGGGUUACCCCCCUCGGUGCCGCAGCUAACGCAUUAAGUACUCCGCCUGGGGAGUACGCACGCAAGUGUGAAACUCAAAGGAAUUGACGGGGACCCGCACAAGUAGCGGAGCAUGUGGUUUAAUUCGAAGCAACGCGAAGAACCUUACCUAAGCUUGACAUCCCUUAGACCGGUGUUUAAUCACACCUUCCCUUCGGGGCUGAGGUGACAGGUGGUGCAUGGUUGUCGUCAGCUCGUGUCGUGAGAUGUUGGGUUAAGUCCCGCAACGAGCGCAACCCUUGUCUUUAGUUGCCAGCAUUCAGUUGGGCACUCUAGAGAGACUGCCAGGGAUAACCUGGAGGAAGGUGGGGAUGACGUCAAAUCAUCAUGCCCCUUAUGCUUAGGGCUACACACGUGCUACAAUGGGUGGUACAGAGGGUUGCCAAACCGUGAGGUGGAGCUAAUCCCUUAAAGCCAUUCUCAGUUCGGAUUGUAGGCUGAAACUCGCCUACAUGAAGCUGGAGUUACUAGUAAUCGCAGAUCAGAAUGCUGCGGUGAAUGCGUUCCCGGGUCUUGUACACACCGCCCGUCACACCAUGGGAGUCGGAAACACCCGAAGCCGAUUAUCCAACCGCAAGGAGGAAGUCGUCGAAGGUGGCGUCGAUAACUGGGGUGAAGUCGUAACAAGGUAGCCGUAUCGGAAGGUGCGGCUGGAUCACCUCCUUU